GCAAGUCGAACGCGAAAUCACUUUCGGGUGAGAGUAGAGUGGCGGACGGGUGAGUAACGCGUGGGAAUCUGCCUAGUAGUGGGGGAUAACUAGGGGAAACUCGAGCUAAUACCGCAUAUGCCCUAAGGGGGAAAGGCUUCGGCAGCUAUUGGAUGAGCCCGCGUCAGAUUAGCUUGUUGGUAGGGUAAUGGCCUACCAAGGCGACGAUCUGUAGCUGGUCUGAGAGGACGAAC
rnacentral:rRNA from 1 species